rnacentral:tRNA from 1 species
AGCCCUAUAGUUCAACGGAUAGAACAAAAGUUUCCUAAACUUUAGAUCUAGGUUCGAGUCCUAGUAGGGCUA